rnacentral:tRNA from 1 species
GCCCCCAUGGUGUAGCGGUUAGCACGGCAGCCUUUCACGCUGCUAGCACGGGUUCGAUUCCCGUUGGGGGUA